AUUGAACGCUGGCGGCAGGCCUAACACAUGCAAGUCGAGCGAGCGGCGGACGGGUGAGUAAUGUCUGGGAAACUGCCUGAUGGAGGGGGAUAACUACUGGAAACGGUAGCUAAUACCGCAUACCAUCAGAUGUGCCCAGAUGGGAUUAGCUAGUAGGGGGGGUAACGGCUCACCUAGGCGACGAGCACUAGCGGGUCGGAGAGGAUGACCAGCCACACUGGCACGGAGACCCGGUCCAGACGCAUACGGGAGGCAGCAGUGGGGAAUAUUGCACAAUGGGCGCAAGCCUGAUGCAGCCAUGCCGCGUGUGUGAAGAAGGCCUUCGGGUUGUAAAGCACUUUCAGCGGGGAGGCGUUACCCGCAGAAGAAGCACCGGCUAACUCCGUGCCAGCAGCCGCGGUAAUUC
rnacentral:rRNA from 1 species